rnacentral:rRNA from 1 species
CGCUGGCGGCGUGCCUAACACAUGCAAGUCGAACGGGGAUUUGUUUCGGCAGAAUCCUAGUGGCGAACGGGUGAGUAACGCGUAGGCAACCUGCCCCCCGGAUUGGGACAACACCCCGAAAGGGGUGCUAAUACCGGAUACGAAGACGGCAUCGCAUGGUGCCGUUUUGAAAGAUGGCCUCUAUUUAUAAGCUAUCGCCGGGGGAUGGGCCUGCGUCCGAUUAGCUGGUUGGCGGGGUAAGGGCCCACCAAGGCGACGAUCGGUAGCCGGUCUGAGAGGAUGAACGGCCACAUUGGGACUGGGACACGGCCCAGACUCCUACGGGAGGCAGCAGUGGGGAAUCUUCCGCAAUGGGCGCAAGCCUGACGGAGCAACGCCGCGUGGGUGAGGAAGUCCUUCGGGACGUAAAGCCCUGUUGUUUAUGACGAACGGGCUUUCUGUGAAGAAUGGGAAGCAGUGACGGUAAUAGACGAGGAAGCCACGGCUAACUACGUGCCAGCCGCUGC